AUUUAAGCAAUGACAAGGAAAGUACACUGUAGCACCUCUUUCAGAGAGUUUCUAAUUGGUGAAAUGAAACAUUGGCUCUACUUUGGAAAAUGGCCUUCGAGCGUGAAUUUGCGAUAUUUAGCAAAUUCAGGGUCCGCCCUCUACCGCGGUAACGUAUCGCUUUUUAGCCGUACGUGAACUGAGGUGGAACUUCCAUAAACAAUAGGUGGUACCGCGUUAUUAACGCCCUAUUA
rnacentral:ncRNA from 1 species